GACGAACGCUGGCGGCGUGCCUAAUACAUGCAAGUAGAACGCUGAAGCUUGGUGCUUGCACCGAGCGGAUGAGUUGCGAACGGGUGAGUAACGCGUAGGUAACCUGCCUGGCAGCGGGGGAUAAUUAUUGGAAACGAUAGCUAAUCCGGCAGAAUAGUAGAUGUUGCAUGACAGUUGUGUAAAAUGUGCAAUUUCGUGACUACCAGACGGCCCUGCGUGGUAUUAGCUAGUUGGUGAGGUAACGGGUCACCAAGGCAACGAUACAUAGCCGACCUGAGAGGGCGAUCGGCCACACUGGGACUGAGACACGGCCCAGACUCCUACGGGAGGCAGCAGUAGGGAAUCUUCGGCAAUGGACGGAAGUCUGACCGAGCAACGCCGCGUGAGUGAAGAAGGUUUUCGGAUCGUAGAGCUCUGUUGUAAGAGAAGAACGAGUGUGAGAGUGGAAAGUUCACUCUGUGACGGUAUCUUACCAGAAAGGGACGGCUAACUACGUG
rnacentral:rRNA from 1 species